CCUACGGGAGGCAGCAGUGAGGAAUAUUGGUCAAUGGACGAGAGUCUGAACCAGCCAAGUAGCGUGAAGGAUGACUGCCCUAUGGGUUGUAAACUUCUUUUAUAUGGGAAUAAAAUGUUCCACGUGUGGGAUUUUGUAUGUACCAUAUGAAUAAGGAUCGGCUAACUCCGUGCCAGCAGCCGCGGUAAUACGGAGGAUCCGAGCGUUAUCCGGAUUUAUUGGGUUUAAAGGGAGCGUAGGUGGAUUGUUAAGUCAGUUGUGAAAGUUUGGGGGUUAACCUUUAAAUUGCAGUUGAAACUGGCAGUCUUGAGUAGAGUAGAGGUGGGCGGAAUUCGUGGUGUAGCGGUGAAAUGCUUAGAUAUCACGAAGAACUCCGAUUGCGAAGGCAGUUCACUGGACUGCAACUGACACUGAGGCUCGAAAGUGUGGGUAUCAAACAGGAUUAGAUACCCUAGUAGUC
rnacentral:rRNA from 1 species